rnacentral:rRNA from 1 species
UCUUGAGAGCGGCGUACGGGUGCGGAACACGUGUGCAACCUGCCUUUAUCAGGGGGAUAGCCUUUCGAAAGGAAGAUUAAUACCCCAUAAUAUAAUGAGUGGCAUCACUUAUUAUUGAAAACUCCGGUGGAUAGAGAUGGGCACGCGCAAGAUUAGAUAGUUGGUGAGGUAACGGCUCACCAAGUCGAUGAUCUUUAGGGGGCCUGAGAGGGUGAUCCCCCACACUGGUACUGAGACACGGACCAGACUCCUACGGGAGGCAGCAGUGAGGAAUAUUGGACAAUGGGUUAGCGCCUGAUCCAGCCAUCCCGCGUGAAGGACGACGGCCCUAUGGGUUGUAAACUUCUUUUGUAUAGGGAUAAACCUUUCCACGUGUGGAAAGCUGAAGGUACUAUACGAAUAAGCACCGGCUAACUCCGUGCCAGCAGCCGCGGUAAUACGGAGGGUGCAAGCGUUAUCCGGAUUUAUUGGGUUUAAAGGGUCCGUAGGCGGAUCUGUAAGUCAGUGGUGAAAUCUCAUAGCUUAACUAUGAAACUGCCAUUGAUACUGCAGGUCUUGAGUAAGGUAGAAGUAGCUGGAAUAAGUAGUGUAGCGGUGAAAUGCAUAGAUAUUACUUAGAACACCAAUUGCGAAGGCAGGUUACUAUGUCUUAACUGACGCUGAUGGACGAAAGCGUGGGGAGCGAAC